rnacentral:rRNA from 1 species
UACGGAGGGUGCAAGCGUUGUUCGGAAUUAUUGGGCGUAAAGGGGAGGUAGGUGGUCCCGCCUGUCUGGGGUGAAAUCCCUGAGCUUAACUCAGGAAGUGCCUCAGAAACAGCGGGACUGGAGUCUUGGAGAGGGUUGCGGAAUUCCCGGUGUAGCGGUGAAAUGCGUAGAGAUCGGGAGGAACACCAGAGGCGAAAGCGGCAACCUGGACAAGUACUGACACUCAACUCCGAAAGCGUGGGGAGCAAACAGG